rnacentral:sRNA from 1 species
CUGGGCCCUCCCUGAGCCCAUUCUCCGCACGUGGGAGUGACGAAACCAUUUUUAAUUUUAGCACAACCAUCAACAAAAGAAGAGACUGUGCCACAGCUACAAGCAGACACAAGUACUAGCUGCACAUCCUGAUAUGACGACCAUAUCUACACAUGUGCUUGAACUCCUAUAUAUAUCCACAGCAACCAUCUCAACAGGGGCCAAUGCGUACAGAGAUCCAAGAAGAGAAUUUCAAGCAAUCACCCACCUCUGAUCCGAUCGUCAGUCAGGAUCGCGGAUAACUAUCGCUGGCUGGGAUCUAAGAUCAUCCCUAGCAGUCGUGAAGAUCAGAUACAACCACCUUCGUAUAAAGGCCAAUAGCUCUGAUCAUGCAAAAAUUGAACUUUCUUG